rnacentral:pre_miRNA from 1 species
AAUAAGUGCAGUUUUGCACUAUUCACGUUCAACGUUUGACCGUCCGUCUUAUUUGAAAAAUUUGUGAAAAAAUUAAAAACAUUUAGUCACACAUAAAGUAUUAUUCAUGUUUUAUCAUCUAAUAGCAAUAAAAAUAAUAAUCAUAAAAAAUUUUCAAAUAAGACGGACGGUCAAACGUUGAACAUAAAUAGUGCAAAACUGCACUUAUU